rnacentral:tRNA from 1 species
GAGAAAGGUGGGUCAUGAGUGGGCUUCUAACCCAUCUUAUAAGCAGUUCAAUUCUGUUUCUUUCUCU